rnacentral:sRNA from 1 species
AACCUGCUGAUGUGAGUUAUUAAAAGUCUUACUGUCCAUCAAUAGAGCCCACAACUCCACCUC